rnacentral:rRNA from 1 species
ACAGAGACUGCAAGCGUUAUUCGGAUUCACUGGGCGUAAAGGGUGCGCAGGCGGCCAAGUGUGUGAGGUGUGAAAGCCCGGAGCUUAACUCCGGAAUUGCACCUCAAACUACUUGGCUAGAGCAUUGGAGAGGGUAGCAGAAUUCAUGGUGUAGCAGUGAAAUGCGUAGAUAUCAUGAGGAAUACCAGAGGCGAAGGCGGCUACCUGGACAAUUGCUGACGCUCAGGCACGAAAGCGUGGGGAGCAAAAGGGAUUAGAUACCCCUGUAGUCCACGCCCUAAACGGUGCACACUAGGUCUUGGCGGAUUCGACCCCGCCAGGGCCCCAGCUAACGCGUUAAGUGUGCCGCCUGAGGACUACGGCCGCAAGGCUA